AUUGAACGCUGGCGGCAUGCCUUACACAUGCAAGUCGAACGGUAACAGGUCUUCGGAUGCUGACGAGUGGCGAACGGGUGAGUAAUACAUCGGAACGUGCCUAGUAGUGGGGGAUAACUACUCGAAAGAGUGGCUGAUACCGCAUGAGAUCUACGGAUGAAAGCAGGGGAUCGCAAGACCUUGUGCUACUAGAGCGGCCGAUGGCAGAUUAGGUAGUUGGUGGGAUAAAAGCUUACCAAGCCGACGAUCUGUAGCUGGUCUGAGAGGACGAUCAGCCAAACUGGGACUGAGACACGGCCCAGACUCCUACGGGAGGCAGCAGUGGGGAAGUUUGGACAAUGGGCGAAAGCCUGAUCCAGCAAUGCCGCGUGCAGGAUGAAGGCCUUCGGGUUGUAAACUGCUUUUGUACGGAACGAAAAGCCCUGGGUUAAUACCCUGGGGUCAUGACGGUACCGUAAGAAUAAGCACCGGCUAACUACGUGCCAGCCGCCGCGGUAA
rnacentral:rRNA from 1 species